rnacentral:rRNA from 1 species
AUUGAACGCUGGCGGCAGGCCUAACACAUGCAAGUCGAGCGGAUGAAGGGAGCUUGCUCCUGGAUUCCGCGGCGGACGGGUGAGUAAUGCCUAGGAAUCUGCCUGGUAGUGGGGGAUAACGUCCGGAAACGGGCGCUAAUACCGCCUACGUCCUGAGGGAGAAAGUGGGGGAUCUUCGGAACUCACGCUAUCAGAUGAGCCUAGGUCGGAUUAGCUAGUUGGUGGGGUAAAGGCCUACCAAGGCGACGAUCCGUAACUGGUCUGAUAGGAUGAUCAGUCACACUGGAACUUAGACACGGUCCAGACGCCUACGGGAGGCAGCAGUGGGGAAUAUUGGACAAUGGGCGAAAGCCUGAUCCGGCCAGGCCGCGUGUGUGAAGAAGGUCUUCGGAUUGUAAAGCACUUUAAGGUGGGAGGAAGGGCAGUAAGUUAAUACCUUGCUGUUUUGACGUUACCAACAGAAUAAGCACCGGCUAACUUCGUG